rnacentral:rRNA from 1 species
UGGGGAAUAUUGCACAAUGGGCGCAAGCCUGAUGCAGCCAUGCCGCGUGUGUGAAGAAGGCCUUCGGGUUGUAAAGCACUUUCAGCGGGGAGGAAGGCGUUAAGGUUAAUAACCUUGGCGAUUGACGUUACCCGCAGAAGAAGCACCGGCUAACUCCGUGCCAGCAGCCGCGGUAAUACGGAGGGUGCAAGCGUUAAUCGGAAUUACUGGUCGUAAAGCGCACGCAGGCGGUAUGUCAAGUCGAAUGUGAAAUCCCCGGGCUCAACCGGGGAACUGCAUUCGAAGCUGGCAGGCUAGAGUCUUGUAGAGGGGGGUAGAAUUCCAGGUGUAGCGGUGAAAUGCGUAGGGAUCUGGAGGAAUACCGGUGGCGGAGGCGGCCCCCUGGACAAAGACUGACGCUCAGGUGCGAAAGCGUGGGGAGCAAACAGG